UACGUAGGUGGCAAGCGUUGUCCGGAUUUACUGGGCGUAAAGAGUAUGUAGGCGGAUAUUUAAGUCAGAUGUGAAAUUCCCGGGCUUAACCUGGGCGCUGCAUUUGAAACUGGAUAUCUAGAGUGCGGGAGAGGAAAGUGGAAUUCCUAGUGUAGCGGUGAAAUGCGUAGAGAUUAGGAAGAACACCAGUGGCGAAGGCGACUUUCUGGACCGUAACUGACGCUGAGAUACGAAAGCGUGGGGAGCAAAC
rnacentral:rRNA from 2 species